rnacentral:rRNA from 1 species
GAUGAACGCUAGCGGCAGGCCUAAUACAUGCAAGUCGAACGGAUAUAUGUUUUUCGGAAUAUAUAUUAGUGGCGCACGGGUGAGUAACACGUACAUAACUUGCCCUCAAGCGGGGGAUAGCCUUGGGAAACUGAGAGUAAUACCCCAUAGAAUUAUUGGACGGCAUCGUUUGAUAAUUAAAACUACGGUGCUUGGGGAUAGAUGUGCGUCUGAUUAGCUAGUUGGUGAGGUAACUGCUCACCAAGGCGACGAUCAGUAGGGGGCGUGAGAGCGUGGCCCCCCACACGGGUACUGAGACACGGACCCGACUCCUACGGGAGGCAGCAGUGAGGAAUAUUGGUCAAUGGGCGGAAGCCUGAACCAGCCAUGCCGCGUGCAGGAUGACGGCCCUACGGGUUGUAAACUGCUUUUCCCGGGGCGAAUAACCCCCUCGCGAGGGGGAUGGCCGGUACCGGGGGAAUAAGGGAUCGGCUAACUCCGUGCCGAGCCAGCCGCGGUAAUCAUACUCGUA